rnacentral:lncRNA from 1 species
UGGAAACGCUGGCCUCAUAACACAGCCCAGAGCUGGCUGCCUGCCUCCACUGCAGUGUGGCUCCUGUUAGCACAGUUCACUUCACCUUCUGCGCAUUCCUAUGAAGUCAGACACUGCGAAAGGGCUGAGAUUGUCCCCUCUUGCCAGGGAACGAGGUAGCCUGUGCUGGUUCCAUGCACACAUCUGACCAAAGAUCGCAGGGCUCGGUUCAGAGACACAGACUGUGUGUUCUUCACAGCAGAAAGCAGUAGCUCUGCAAGCUCCUGGGUUGGUCCCCACCAUCCCGAUUCCCAUGGGCCACGCAGAGGGCCAGGUGCUCGCCUGCAGCUGUGCAGGUUGCGCCGCAGGAGGGGAGCCCUGAAUUGGGAGCUGGAGCUUUCCUUGAGGUGACUUCAUGACCUGCCGUCCUCCCCUCCAUAGACAUGACCUGGAAUGUCACUCGCUGCCCAGGGGCUGAGGGAAAAGCUCUCUUGGGCUGUAACGCUGGAAGCACAGAUGCAACCGUCUGAGGUCUAACUACACAGUACACAUCAGCCACAGUGGAACAUUGUGGACCGCAGGAGGGUGAGGCAGGAGGCAGGGGGAUUGCUUGAGGCCAGGAGUUCAAGACCAGCUUGGGCAACAUGGUGAGACCUCAUCAACAGCACCACCACCACCGCCACCACCACAACAACAACAAACCAAUGAAACAUUUUUUGGAACUUUUGUUUGAAUUUUUUCAAUCCCUGGUUGAUUGAAUCUGGGGAUAUGGAAUCGGUGGAUAGGGAGGGCCCCACACAGCCCCUUUGUUAAACUCACCUUAAAUUACUCAGUUUGCACGUGCCACGUGCUUGCUGUAGAGAUCCUCUCCGGAUUAAGAAUAUAUUUUUAAAAACUACAAAUCAAUGGGAAAAAGACAAACCUAACGGGAUGAGAAGCAAAGGCUCUGGGUAGGAAAUUCACAAAGACAAAACCUUGCUAGCCAAUAAGCAUAAAAAGAUGCUUGACCUCAGAGAGGCCAAAGCCGAGUCUCAUACCCCACAGUAGUGGCGAGAAUGUGAGGAAAUGGGAUCUCAUUCGCUACUGGCAGAACUGAAAUCCGAGGCAUUAUGGAAUGCGAUUUGGCAGUAUCCUGGAAACUGCAGAGGCUCAGCCAUUCCUCCGCUAGGAGUGCCAAACGCCGCACGUCUCCAUUCAAUCCUGCUCUCCGCGCGCCCCCUGGUGGCACUAGUCCGCACCUGCCCCAUCCCAAGCGCAUUGAUUCCCAAUGAUUGGAAACAACCAAGUGUUUGUCAAUAGGAGAAUGUGUUAGUAAAGUAUAUUAUAUUUAUAAAUUAUAUAGUAGGACAGCAAAAAUCAGCUAGGUCUAAGUCAACAUAGGUAAAUCUCUAAAUCAUAAUGUUAAGUGAAUAAAGGAUAUGCUCUUGUGAGUAUGUGUGAAACUUUAAAACUCAGAACAAUACUGUAUUGUUUAGGAAACAUUCUUUUGUAGUUAAAGUCUGUGAUCAGGGAUAGGGAGGAUAAACACAACCUUCAGAUUAGAGGUUACAUGUGGGAUGGAAGGAUAGGAAUCAACUGGAUAGAGGAACCAUUCAACUCUACCUGUAAACUAUUGUUUCUUAAAAAUGUCUGAAGCAAAGAUGGCAACAAAUUAACACAUAUUAAAAUGGAAUAGUGAUUCACUGGGUGGCUGUAAUAUUCUCAUAU